rnacentral:miRNA from 1 species
GGAAGAUAAGAGGGGAAAAUGGAAGGGAUGAGUAACAAAAGUGAAAACAAAAAUUAAAAACUGAAAUCUAUUUAAAAUUGUUUUCACUUUUGUUACUCAUUCCUCCCAUCCUCUCCUCUCAUUCU